rnacentral:misc_RNA from 1 species
CAACCCUUAAGCCCUCGUUGCUUAGCGUUGGGAGCCUACCCCCCCGUGGUAGCUCCCCAAAGUCAGUGGCGGAGCCGGUUCCACGCUCUAGACGUAGUAAAUCAUUCUCGUCUGUAGCUGGGCCGGUGUCCUGCCGUAAAACACCCCAAUUUUUUUAAAGG